rnacentral:rRNA from 1 species
AGAUUGAACGCUAGCGGGAUGCUUUGCACAUGCAAGUCGAACGGCAGCGCGGACUUCGGUCUGGCGGCGAGUGGCGAACGGGUGAGUAAUAUAUCGGAACGUGCCCAGUAGCGGGGGAUAACUACGCGAAAGCGUGGCUAAUACCGCAUACGCCCUACGGGGGAAAGGGGGGAUCGCAAGACCUCUCACUAUUGGAGCGGCCGAUAUCAGAUUAGCUAGUUGGUGAGGUAAAGGCUCACCAAGGCGACGAUCUGUAGCUGGUUUGAGAGGACGACCAGCCACACUGGGACUGAGACACGGCCCAGACUCCUACGGGAGGCAGCAGUGGGAAUUUUGGACAAGUGGGGGAAACCCUGGAUCCAGCCAUCCGCGUGUGCGAUGGAAGGCCUUCGGGUUGUCAAAGCAACUUUUUGGCGAGGAACGUAAACGGCGUGACCCGUUAAGUACGGACGUACG